rnacentral:miRNA from 2 species
CAUCAACAGGCAUUUACUUCAACU